rnacentral:rRNA from 1 species
UACGGAGGGUGCAAGCGUUAUCCGGAUUCACUGGGUUUAAAGGGUGCGUAGGUGGGUUGAUAAGUCAGUGGUGAAAUCUCCAGGCUUAACUUGGAAACUGCCAUUGAUACUAUUGAUCUUGAAUACCGUGGGGGUCAGCGGAAUAUGUCAUGUAGCGGUGAAAUGCUUAGAUAUGACAUAGAACACCAAUUGCGAAGGCAGCUGGCUACACGAAUAUUGACACUCAGGCACGAAAGCGUGGGGAUCAAACAGG